CCACACUGGGACUGAGACACGGCCCAGACUCCUACGGGAGGCAGCAGUGGGGAAUAUUGCACAAUGGGCGAAAGCCUGAUGCAGCGACGCCGCGUGAGGGAUGACGGCCUUCGGUUGUAAACCUCUUUCAGUAGGGAAGAAGCGAAAGUGACGGUACCUGCAGAAGAAGCACCGGCUAACUACGUGCCAGCAGCCGCGGUAAUACGUAGGGUGCGAGCGUUAUCCGGAAUUAUUGGGCGUAAAGAGCUCGUAGGCGGUUUGUCGCGUCUGUCGUGAAAGUCCGGGGCUUAACCCCGGAUCUGCGGUGGGUACGGGCAGACUAGAGUGCAGUAGGGGAGACUGGAAUUCCUGGUGUAGCGGUGGAAUGCGCAGAUAUCAGGAGGAACACCGAUGGCGAAGGCAGGUCUCUGGGCUGUAACUGACGCUGAGGAGCGAAAGCAGUGGGGAGCGAACAGGAUUAGAUACCCUGGUAGUCCAUGCCGUAAACGUUGGGCACUAGGUGUGGGGACCAUUCCGACGGUUUCCGCGCCGCAGCUAACCG
rnacentral:rRNA from 1 species